CCUAAGUGGGAAACUUCAUCGUCGCUAUAUCAUCGGUCAUCAGUAGCUCAAAAUCAAAAGCUUCCACGAAAAUGGAAAACCCAAGAGAUUGGAUCCUCGGUGACGAGACCGCUCGCGAUUUCCUCUCUAGGGUUUUAUCAGAGCGGCCUUCUCUCCUCCUUCCUCCUCUCCACCGCGUCCCUCUCCGCGCCGGCAACGUCGUCGAGAUCGUCGGCCCCUCUCCUUCCGCCAAAUCCGAGAUCUUAUUGCAGGCCGCGAUCAAUUGCAUUCUUCCCAAAGAGUGGAGAGGAGUGCAUUUUGGGGGAUUGGAGAAGUUGGUGAUUUAUUUUGAUUUGGAUUGUAGAUUUGAUGUGCUUCGUCUAUCGAAGGCGCUCAAGCUUCGGAUUGCAUCAGCUCGGAAUAGUUAUUGGGGCCCAUGUGAAGUUUCAAAUAAAGAUUAUUCCAUGGAAGUUGAAAUACAUAGCCCCUCUGACGAUGAAUUAUUUACCGCUUGCAUGAGGCGCUUCUUGUAUAUUCGUUGUUACAGUAGCGUUGAAUUUUUGUCUGCCCUCAAGAUGAUGCACAAUCAACUUCAGAAGCAAACUGAAGCUCUUGGUAUCAGUGUUCACUUCCUUAUGAUAGACAGCAUUGGUGCCUUUCAGUCGAUAGACCGAGCAUGCCAGCCCUUGCCCCAUCAUUGUAAUAGUAAAAGAAAGACUUUAUCUCUUCAAAUUUGGGCAGAAAGUGUUGUGCAAAAAAUCCGCAACCUUUUACAAGUGCAACCUGUGCUAGUAUUAGCUACAAAAGCAACCAUUUUUGGAGCUGGAACCUCGAUACAUGGUGCACUAAGGAUGAAGAUGCUCAGAAUUCAACUUAGUGACCGUUCAAGUUCUGGAAGAAGCGAGCCUAAUCUUCAUUUUCGCACCAAAACAAACUCUAGUUUCCAGACGACAGUUGAUAAUCAAUCCAGUUGCCUUUUCCGUCGGCAUUCUCUUUCUCCUUUGUUGCAUGCGUUAGUGAAACGACUUAAUGUACAUGCUCUGAACUGUUCAUUGUUGUUACAUUCAUACAGGGCUCUUGGAAAGUGGUCUUCUGAGGACACGGGAAACUUGAAAACUUCAAGAAGGGAAGGGGAGAAGCCUUUAUAUCGUGAUUUCAUGCCUUCAGCAUGGCAGUCACUUGUGACUCACAGGGUACACGUGGGAGUUUCAGAUAAGAACCAGGGAAGAUGCCCUACUUACACGUCUGAAUGGGUUCAGCCUCCACUCCCUACUGUAGACGAAUUUACUGUUAAUGAUAAUGGUAUCUUUAUGAUAUCAUAAAACUAUUCAGAGAAUCUAUAUGCUUCUCUUGUUUUUGUGCCACUUUCUUGCUUUCGUCAAGGUUGGGGGUAUUUCAGCUUUCACUGGUUGAGUGUAUUAUAGUGGCACUGAUACAAUCAUGCAGAACACGGUGCAUUAUUGACACUUUCUUCCCUGUUGUAACCGUUCUUUCUUUAAGGAGUCUCGGUUUGUUUCCAACCGGCAUCUGGUCUGAAUUUGCUUCUUAAUAUACAAGAUAACAUUUCUCUUUUGUACUCUUCUUAUAGGGUUAAGUUACUUACGCGUGUAAAUUAAAGAAUGCCAUCUGCAGUUCAGAAAGUCUGGAUCAAAUUAAUAUAAUAAAUGCAUCACGUUGAUAACA